GGAGUCUGGGCCGUGUCUCAGUCCCAAUGUGGCCGUCCGCCCUCUCAGGCCGGCUACUGAUCGUCGCUUUGGUGGGCUUCUACCCCGCCAACUGGCUAAUCAGAUGCGGAUCCAUUCCAUCCCGAUAUAAAUCUUUUCACACUGUAAGAUGCCUUACUGUGCGCUUAUGCGGUAUUACCAACCGUUUCCAGCUGCUAUCCCCCCGGAUGGACCAGGUUAUCCACACGUUACUCACCCGUCCGCCACUAAGUAUAUACAAGAUUCUCUCUAUGCAAGCACUUCGAUCAUCAGCGCAUAUACUCCGUUCGACUUGCAUGUGUUAGGCACGCCGCCAGCGUUCAUCCUGAGCCACGGAUCAAACUCU
rnacentral:rRNA from 1 species